rnacentral:rRNA from 1 species
GACGAACGCUGGCGGCGUGCUUAACACAUGCAAGUCGAACGGAAAGGCCCUGCUUGCAGGGUGCUCGCGUGGCGAACGGGUGAGUAACACGUGUGUGUUCUGCCCCUUAUUUUGGGGUAAGCCUUGGAAACUGUGUCUCUUACUGCAUAGGACCAUGCCUUCUGUGUGGUGGUGGUUAGAUUGUUUUCGGUGAUGGGUGAGCACGCGGCGUAUCAGCUUGUUGGUGGGGGAAUGGCCUACCAAGGCGUCGACGCGUAGCCGGCCGGAGAGGGGGGACGGCGACAUUGGGACGGAGAAAAGGCGCAGAAUCCUACGGGAGGCAGCAGUGGGGAAGAUUGCACAAUGGGGGGAAGCAUGAUGAAGCGACGACGCGGGGGGGAUGACGGCCUUCGGGUGGUAAUCUCCUGUCAGCCAUGACGAAGAACUGGGGGUGACGGUAGUGGUAGAAGAAGCACCGGCUAACUACGUG